CCGGGAGAGAUUGUCUCGCGAGGCCUGGGCGCUGCGGCGGUAGGAGGAGGACGGGGAAGGACGGAGCCGAGCCGCGGCUGCCUCCCUCGCUCUCUCCCUGGCACACUCGCCCGCCCCCUCCCUCCCUCCCCUCCCUUCCCCAGCCCCGGCUCCGGCCCCGGCCAAUUCGCUGUUCGGUCUUCUGCAGGGAGGAUGUUGGGCUCGUCGCUUCCCAGCGCCCUGGCCCUCUCGCUGUUGCUGGUCUCUGGCUCCCUCCUUCCAGGACCAGGCGCCGCUCAAAACGCUGGGUUUGUCAAGUCGCCCAUGUCAGAAACUAAGCUCACUGGGGACGCCUUUGAGCUGUACUGUGACGUGGUCGGGAGCCCCACGCCAGAGAUCCAGUGGUGGUACGCAGAAGUCAACCGGGCAGAGUCUUUCAGACAGCUGUGGGACGGUGCUCGGAAGCGCCGUGUCACCGUAAACACCGCCUACGGGUCAAACGGCGUGAGUGUGCUGAGAAUAACCCGGCUCACCUUGGAGGACUCUGGGACUUACGAGUGCAGGGCCAGCAACGACCCCAAGAGGAAUGACUUGAGGCAAAACCCCUCCAUAACAUGGAUUCGAGCCCAGGCCACCAUAAGCGUCCUUCAGAAGCCAAGGAUUGUCACCAGUGAAGAAGUCAUUAUUCGAGAAAGUCCUGUGCUCCCUGUCACCCUGCAGUGUAACCUCACCUCCAACUCCCACACCCUUACAUACAGCUACUGGACAAAGAAUGGAGUAGAACUGACUGCCACUCGUAAGAAUGCCAGCAAUAUGGAAUACAGGAUCAAUAAGCCAAGAGCUGAGGAUUCAGGCGAAUACCACUGUGUAUAUCACUUUGCCAGUGCUCCUAAAGCAAAUGCCACCAUUGAAGUGAAAGCUGCUCCUGACAUCACUGGCCAUAAACGGAGCGAGAACAAGAAUGAAGGGCAGGAUGCCAUGAUGUACUGCAAGUCAGUUGGCUACCCCCAUCCAGAGUGGAUCUGGCGCAAGAAGGAGAAUGGUAUGCUCGUGGAUAUUGUCAACACUUCUGGCCGCUUCAUCAUCAUCAACAGGGAAAAUUACACUGAGCUGAGCAUCAUGAACCUGCAGAUCACUGAAGACCCUGGCGAGUAUGAAUGUAAUGCUACCAACUCCAUUGGCUCUGUCUCCGUUGUCACCAUCCUCAGGGUACGGAGCCACCUGGCCCCACUCUGGCCUUUCUUGGGAAUUCUGGCAGAAAUCAUCAUCCUUGUGGUGAUCAUUGUUGUGUAUGAGAAGAGGAAGAGGCCAGAUGAAGUUCCUGACGAUCAUCAGGCAGAUUGAGCUUGAGGAGAAUCCAAGUCAAGCCUAGAAGCCACCCCAAGAUCGCAGGCCACCUGGCCUUUCAGACAGAUUUAAGAUGAUGAACCAGCUGGGCCAAUGAAAACCAACUCUACCAACAAUCACAAAGAUAAAAACUUGCGCCAGAGAAACACAAAUUAAGUACUUCUUAUAAUAUCUUUAGGUUCCUGAAACUGGUGGCAACAUGACCUGCUAAAUUUUCUGCUUGGACCUCUUUGGUUCUUUCCCCUUUCAAGUGAGCAGCACCACGACGACUGUCUAAAGCAUGCCUUAUUUAGCCUCUCCUGUAAGGGUGACCUAGCCAGGUACAUUUUAAACAAUGCUUCAGUGUAGAAGGUGUAAACUAUUUUGGGCUUGAUGUGCUGUGAAUGUUGCUUUUUCCCCCUUUGUUAAAAUAUUUAAAUAGAAGUGAAAAGGUCCUCUGAGGAUCAGAUCGUGCAUGCGCCAUUUUUUACUUAAUGCAGCUGUUAAAUUGGCAAAGCUCUAAAAUGCACUGCUGCCAUCUAGUGAUACAUUUUUGUAAAGUACAGCAAAACCUACAGAUAUAUACAGUAUAUAAAUAUAUAAAUAUAUAUUUAUAUUUUUGGGGGUGGGAGAGAUCCAAAAUAAAAUAAAUGCUUGUUUCAUUUUUAAGCUGCUGAUACUCAUUCCUUAUUGUAUGUUGUCAGAUGAGGAAUUUGUGCAGUUCUGGUACAUGAAGAUGAGUAAUAUAAACUGAAAUUUUAAUUUUAAGGGCUUAACCUAUGACCUUUGAUAAAAAGCUGGAACAGUCCACUGAAUGGAUAUAAUGAAUUGCAGUAUAUAUGUAUGAUUGCUUUUUAAGUGAUUUCUUUUCUUAAAUCAUGUAAAUUCUUAAAUCCUUUUGCACUGAUGUGUUGAACCUUAUUGUACAUUCGAUUAAGGCAAACUUUUAUAAUUUACCUUUUGUUUAAAUGACCUUGAAAUGUUAUAGCAUGGUAUUCUAUGCAACUAGUUAUACUCUGGGGUUGACACUGUAUUUUUUCAUUGAUUUAAUGGUUGAGUGUAGAUUUUCUCACCCGACAGGGUUCUCAUGCGGUGCGUAAUGGUAGAUGCAUGUACUUGUGUUUUGUGUAAUUGUUGAAGUGCAAUGAUGUAUAAAAAAGUGGAUUCACCUGUUUUUAAAAAUAAAACAUUGAUAAAAGGUGUUGGAAUAAUAUUCUUUAUUCUGAUAUCUUUUCCGAGGAGGGAGCUUUUUUUUUUUAUCUCAGUGCUUUCAAGUUCCUCAGUUCUGCAUGUACAUAGAAUGUUAACCGCUCAGCCCCAACAGCUUUUUUAGUUCCUUUUCCACCUCUUCCACAAAUGCUGGGAAAUUCUGAUCCAUGAGGCAUAAGCGUAGGAAGGAGCCUAACUCUUCCGCAUUCCAUGGAGAUUGUUCAUAGACAAGGGGCAGCUUCUCUGAUGCCAGGAGAGACUGUGGGGAUUACAGGAGAGAGCAACAGACUGAAUCACAGAGCACAGAAAAACUUUGCCUUAAGGAAAGAUUAGGGAAACAGACACAAAAUUAGUGUCAGCUGGCUCUACAGAGUUCCUUUACAUAAUCUUUCUAGAUAUACAUAGGAAGUGAGAUAAAUGUGUAUCCUUAAGUAGUUCAAAUAUAUUAAUGAAAUGAUUUACAGAAUUAAGAUCCUGCUUAUUAAGAGUGCUGUGCUAUGCUUAACUGAUGAGUUUUGUGGAUUAAUAAGCCUGUCAGUGAAUUAACUCCACUAACUUAGGUCAUCUUUCCCACUUCAUAGGUGGAGGAGUGGUUAUGAGCAGUUCACCAUAUGGAAACUGGGUUCUGUACUAAUAGCAAAUGCUGGAGAGGGCGUGGAGAAAAGGGAACCCUCCUACACAGUUGGUGGGAGUGUAAAGUGGUACACCCACUAUGGAAAACAGUGUGGAGGUACCUCAGAAAACUAAAUAUAGAACUACCAUAUGACCCAGCAAUCCCACUCUUGGGCUUAUAUCUGGACAAAACUUUCCUUGAAAAAGACACAUGCACCCGUAUGGUCAUAGCAUCACUAUUCACAGUAGCCAAGACAGAUGAAUGGGUUAUAGAGACUCUCAUACUAAGUGAAGUCAAUCAGAAAGAGAAAGACAAAUACCAUAUGAUCUCACUUAUAUCUGGAACACAAAUGAACCUUUUCACAGAAAAGAAACUCAUGGACUUGGAGAACAGACUUGUUGCCAAGGGGGAGUGGGAGGAAGUGUGGUGGACUGGGAGUCUGGGGUUAAUAGAUGCAACUAUUGCAUUUGCAAUGCAUGUGCAAUGGGAUCCUGCUGUAUAGCACAGGGAACCAUAUCUAGUUACUUAUGAUGGAAGAUAAUGUGAGAAAAAGAAUGUGUGUGUGUGUAUAAAUUUGCUAUACAGUAGAAACUGACAGAACACUGUAAACCAACUAUAAUGGAAAAAAUUUAAAUUAAAAAAAAAAGAGGUCACAAACUGACCGUCCUAAGGACAGAGUGAACUUAGUGUCUUUUACUGGUCCUAUCCAUGAGGUCUGGCAAAUAGAGGCAAGUAGCUAUCACAAGAAUCAAGACACAACAUGUCCAUCAUUCCUCAGAAAUCCUACUCUUGUUGUUAGACCCUCAACCCCUGGCAACCAUGGUCUGUUCUCCAAACCUUGCAAUUCUGUCUUUUCCAGGCUGUCAUACAAAUGAAGUCAUACAGUGUUGAGCAUUUUUCUCACAUGCUUACUUGCUAUCUGUAUGUCUUCUUUGAUAACCUGUAGUACUUUAAAGCCAGUUGACUGAGUUGCCAAUAUUUAAAUAUUAGGACAGUGCAACCAUAAGUCUGACUGUACUUGGCAAUUUGGGAGAUUUGGCCACACUGGAUCCAGUCUCCUGUGAUGAAGAUGGGCUCCCCCUCUGUAGUCCACCUACGUUUGGGUCUUUGACUCGGCCAUCUUAUUUGCUGUUUACAGUAAUUCUAUUAGGUAGGUGGUUUUCUACCCUUGCUCUGGAUGCCAUGGGUUGGUGUAUAUGUAUAUAACUGACAUUUCUUUAGGAACUAUCUUCAAUGGACAUUGACUUUUCUAAAUUCAGACCAGUUUUUCAGACUAAAGGUUUCGGAAAGAAGAAAAUGAAAGUAAAAUGGAAGCCUUGCUCUCCAAUAAGAGCAGCUGUUAAGAUGUUAGUGUAUCUCCUUCCAAACUUAUUUUGUAUGUGUGUGUUUACUACAAAAAUCAAAUCAUAACAUGCUAUUAUGUAUAUGUAGCUUUUAAAAAAUUUUAAUGUACUAUGGAUAUCUUUUCAUGUCAGUAAAUAAAAGAUAUCACUUUUA